ACCAGACUUGCCCUCCAAUAGAUCCUCGUUAAAGGAUUUAAAUUGUACCCAUUCCGAUGACAGACCUCGAAGAGGACUGUCUCGUUAUUUUUCGUCACUACCUCUCCGUUCUGGAAGUGGGUAAUUUGCGCGCCUGCUGCCUUCCUUGGAUGUGGUAGCCGUUUCUCAGGCUCCCUCUCCGGAGUCGAACCCUUAUUCUCCGUUACCCGUUACUACCAUGGUAGGCGUAUAACCUACCAUCGAAAGUUGAUAAGGCAGACACUUGAAAGAUACAUCGCCAGUACUAGGACUGUGCGAUUGGCAAAGUUAUUCAGAUUCACCAAAUUACGGGCCGAAACCCGAUUGGUUUUUAUUCUAAUAAAUGCGCUCGUUCCUUGCGGGCGGAGCUUUUUUGCAUGUAUUAGCUCUAGAAUUGCCACAGUUAUCCAAGUAGGAUAACUAUAUUCUAGUAAACGGUGGCUGUUGUAAUGAGCUAUUCGCGGCUUCACCGUAUUAAGGCAUGUGCUUAGACGUGCAUGGCUUAAUCUUUGAGACAAGCAUAUGACUACUGGCAGGAUCAACCAG
rnacentral:rRNA from 1 species